rnacentral:tRNA from 1 species
GCCGGAAUAGCUCAGUUGGGAGAGCGUUAGACUGAAGAUCUAAAGGCCCCCGGUUCAAUCCAAGGUUCCGGCA